UGGGGAAUAUUGGACAAUGGGCGAAAGCCUGAUCCAGCCAUGCCGCGUGCAGGAUGAAGGCCUUCGGGUUGUAAACUGCUUUUGUACGGAACGAAAAGGCUCUUUCUAAUAAAGAGGGCCCAUGACGGUACCGUAAGAAUAAGCACCGGCUAACUACGUGCCAGCAGCCGCGGUAAUACGUAGGGUGCGAGCGUUAAUCGGAAUUACUGGGCGUAAAGCGUGCGCAGGCGGUUCUAUAAGACAGAUGUGAAAUCCCCGGGCUCAACCUGGGAACUGCAUUUGUGACUGUAUAGCUAGAGUACGGCAGAGGGGGAUGGAAUUCCGCGUGUAGCAGUGAAAUGCGUAGAUAUGCGGAGGAACACCGAUGGCGAAGGCAAUCCCCUGGGCCUGUACUGACGCUCAUGCACGAAAGCGUGGGGAGCAAACAGGAUUAGAUACCCAAGUAGUCCCUGAGCGGGCUGGCAAGGCGCAU
rnacentral:rRNA from 1 species